CUGACCGCGCGACGCCGCGUGAAGGAAGAAGGCCUUCGGGUUGUAAACUUCUUUUAUGAGGGAAGAUUAUGACGGUACCUCAUGAAUAAGGGGCUGCUAACUACGUGCCAGCAGCAGCGGUAA
rnacentral:rRNA from 1 species